rnacentral:rRNA from 1 species
CCUACGGGUGGCAGCAGUGAGGAAUAUUGGUCAAUGGACGGAAGCCUGAACCAGCCAAGUAGCGUGCAGGAUGACGGCCCUACGGGUUGUAAACUGCUUUUAUACGGGAAUAACACGCCUUACGUGUGGGGCUUUGUAUGUACCAUAUGAAUAAGGAUCGGCUAAUUCCGUGUCAGCAGCCGCGGUAAUACGGAGGAUCCGAGCGUUAUCCGGAUUUAUUGGGUUUAAAGGGAGCGUAGGUGGCUUGUUAAGUGUGUUGUGAAAUGUUGGGGCUCAACCGUGAAAUUGCAGCUGAGACUGGCAGGCGUGAGUACAGUGGAGGUAGGCGGAAUUCGUGGUGUAGCGGUGAAAUGCUUAGAUAGCACGAAGAACUCCGAUUGCGAAGGCAGCUCACUGGAGUGCAACGGACACUGAGGCUCGAAAGUGUGGGUAUCGAACAGGAUUAGAUACCCGUGUAGUC